UGCUUGCUUUGGCAGCACAUUACUAAAACUGGAACAAUUCAGAGAAGAUUAGCAUGGCCCCCGCACAAGGAUGACACGCAAAUUCUCAAAUUCGUGAAGUGUUC